AUUGAACGCUGGCGGCAGGCCUAACACAUGCAAGUCGAGCGGAGCGGCGGACGGGUGAGUAAUGCCUAGGAAUCUGCCUGGUAGUGGGGGAUAACGUCCGGAAACGGGCGCUAAUACCGCAUACUAUCAGAUGAGCCUAGGUCGGAGUAGCUAGGUGUGGGGGUAAAGGCCUACCAAGGCGACGAUCCGUAACUGGUCUGAGAGGAGGAUCAGUCAGCAUGGAACUGAGACACGGGCCAGAUUCCUACGGGAGGAAGCAGUGGGGAAUAUUGGACAAUGGGCGAAAGCCUGAUCCAGCCAUGCCGCGUGUGUGAAUAAGGUCUUCGGAUUGUAAAGCACUUUAAGUUGGGAGGCGUUACCAACAGAAUAAGCACCGGCUAACUUCGUGCCAGCAGCCGCGGUAAUUC
rnacentral:rRNA from 1 species